rnacentral:SRP_RNA from 1 species
GCCAGGCACAGUGGUGCAUGCUUGUAGUCCCAGCUGCUCAGGAGGCUGAGGCUGGAGGAUCGCUUGAACCCAAGAGUUCUGGGCCAUAGCGCGCUAUGCUGGUAGGGUGUCUGCACUAAGUUCGGCAUCAAUAUGGUGACCUCCUGGGAGUGGGGGGCCACCAGGUUGCCUAAGGGAUGAACCGGCACAGGUCAGAAACGGAGCAGAGGUCAAAACGCCUGUGCUGAUCAGUAGUGGGAUGGCACUUGUGAAUAGCCACUGCACUCCAGCCUGGGCAACAUAGCAAGACCCAUCUCA